CAAAAUCUUGUUUUUCCCAUAUUAUAGCCAUGUGUUCAUUUCUCAACUAGUUAAAAGCAUAGGAGAUAAGACUUAUAAAUGUAACUUACUUGAAAGAUCCGAAUGAAUAUAAUGAAUCUUCCCGCAAUCUUUGCCAUAUUUAUAGGAGAUCACAAUAAUGCUCCACGUAAAAUGUUUAUUUUUAAGUUGCAUUGUAAAUGUAUU